GCCUAUGGCCAUGCCACCCUAAACAAGCCCAAUUUCGUCUGAUCUCGGAAGCUAAGCAGGGUCUGGCCUGGUUAAUACUUGGAUGAGAGACCACCUAGGAAGACCAGGUGCUGUAGGCC
rnacentral:rRNA from 1 species